CUACAACGGAGAGUUUGAUCCUGGCUCAGGAUGAACGCUGGCGGCGUGCUUAACACAUGCAAGUCGAACGAACCUUCGGGUUAGUGGCGGACGGGUGAGUAACGCGUGAGAAUCUGCCCUCAGGAGGGGGAUAACAGCUGGAAACGGCUGCUAAUACCCCAUAUGCCGCGAGGUGAAAUGAAUUUCGCCUGAGGAUGAGCUCGCGUCUGAUUAGCUAGUUGGUGUAGGUAAUGGCUCACCAAGGCAUCGAUCAGUAGCUGGUCUGAGAGGAUGAUCAGCCACACUGGGACUGAGACACGGCCCAGACUCCUACGGGAGGCAGCAGUGGGGAAUUUUCCGCAAUGGGCGAAAGCCUGACGGAGCAACGCCGCGUGAGGGAUGAAGGCCUCUGGGCUGUAAACCUCUUUUAUCAAGGAAGAAGAUCUGACGGUACUUGAUGAAUAAGCCACGGCUAAUUCCGUGCCAGCAGCCGCGGUAAUACGGGAGUGGCAAGCGUUAUCCGGAAUUAUUGGGCGUAAAGCGUCCGCAGGCGGCCCUUCAAGUCUGCUGUUAAAAAGUGGAGCUUAACUCCAUCAUGGCAGUGGAAACUGAGGGGCUUGAGUGUGGUAGGGGCAGAGGGAAUUCCCGGUGUAGCGGUGAAAUGCGUAGAUAUCGGGAAGAACACCAGUGGCGAAGGCGCUCUGCUGGGCCAUCACUGACGCUCAUGGACGAAAGCCAGGGGAGCGAAAGGGAUUAGAUACCCCUGUAGUCCUGGCCGUAAACGAUGAACACUAGGUGUCGGGGGAAUCGACCCCCUCGGUGUCGUAGCCAACGCGUUAAGUGUUCCGCCUGGGGAGUACGCACGCAAGUGUGAAACUCAAAGGAAUUGACGGGGGCCCGCACAAGCGGUGGAGUAUGUGGUUUAAUUCGAUGCAACGCGAAGAACCUUACCAGGGUUUGACAUCCUGCGAAUCUCUUGGAAACGAGAGAGUGCCUUCGGGAACGCAGUGACAGGUGGUGCAUGGCUGUCGUCAGCUCGUGUCGUGAGAUGUUGGGUUAAGUCCCGCAACGAGCGCAACCCACGUCUUUAGUUGCCAGCAUUUAGUUGGGCACUCUAGAGAGACCGCCGGUGAUAAACCGGAGGAAGGUGUGGAUGACGUCAAGUCAUCAUGCCCCUUACAUCCUGGGCUACACACGUACUACAAUGCUACGGACAAAGGGCAGCAAGUUCGCGAGGACAAGCAAAUCCCAUAAACCGUGGCUCAGUUCAGAUCGUAGGCUGCAACUCGCCUACGUGAAGGAGGAAUCGCUAGUAAUCGCAGGUCAGCAUACUGCGGUGAAUACGUUCCCGGGCCUUGUACACACCGCCCGUCACACCAUGGAAGUUGGCCACGCCCGAAGCCGUUACUCCAACCCUUGUGGAGGAGGACGUCGAAGGUGGGGCUGAUGACUGGGGUGAAGUCGUAACAAGGUAUCCGUACCGGAAGGUGCGGAUGGAUCACCUCCU
rnacentral:rRNA from 1 species